rnacentral:sRNA from 1 species
CAAACUAACUCGUUAACUUUGUGAUAUUUUUCAAUGCAGAAAAGAAAUUAACAUUUUUCUCUUUAAUUAUGGUAAGUCUCAUUUGGGGCAAUUGUUAAAUGUUUCCAGUACUUGUUUUGGAAAUAUAUCCUCAUGCUGUCACCUAGUGCCCAUGUUCUAAGCUAGAACACUCCUGAGAUCCUAAAAAGAAAUAGGAACAUAUAAGUAUCUGAGUGGGAAAAUUUAGUGUUUGUUGUUGCCGUUAAAGCAGGUCCUACACCUACGAUAGCUACUAUAGCAGGAGUCGGAGUCGAAGUAGAAGCCAGAGAAGUGACAGUUACCACCGAGGCAGAAGUUAUAAUCGGCGGUCCAGGAGUUGUAGAUCUUAUGGCUCUGACAGUGAAAGUGACCGAAGUUACUCUCAUCACCGGAGCCCCAGUGAGAGCAGCAGAUAUAGUUGAAAACGUCCGGAUACAAAUUAUAUCUUAUUUGUAAAUAUCUGGCAACUUAGCUUAAGAAAUGUAAUGACAGUCUGUUGUUCUAUUUCAAUAUCAGAGGUGAAUUUCAAAUAUAGACACUUCUUAAUUGUUACUGGUUCAUUU